GAUGAACGCUAGCGGCAGGCCUAAUACAUGCAAGUCGAACGGUAAGGCCCUUUCGGGGUACACGAGUGGCGGACGGGUGCGUAACGCGUAUGCAACAUGCCUUCCAGCGGGGGAUAUACCAGGGAAACUUGGCGCAAUACCCCAUAGAAUUACGGGACCGCAUGGUCUUGUGAUUAAAACUCCGGUGCUGGGAGAUUGGCAUGCGUGACAUUAGCUAGUUGGCGGGGUAACGGCCCACCAAGGCGACGAUGUCUAGCUGGUCUGAGAGGAUGAUCAGCCACACUGGGACUGAGACACGGCCCAGACUCCUACGGGAGGCAGCAGUAGGGAAUAUUGGACAAUGGGGGGAACCCUGAUCCAGCCAUGCCGCGUGAGGGAAGAAGGCCUUAGGGUUGUAAAACACUUUCAGCAAUGAAGAAGCAUUUCAACAGUAAUACAGUUGUUGUGUUGACGUUAAUUGUAGAAGAAGUACUGGCUAACUCUGUGCCAGCAGCCG
rnacentral:rRNA from 1 species